GAGUGUGUGUGUAAGACACAGUGUGUGUGCAGGCCUAUGCUUGUGUAUGAGGCAGUGUGUGUCUGUUCACAUACGUAUGUGUAUGAGACAGUGUGUGUGUCAGCCUAUGUGUUUGUGUGUGUGUCUGUCUGUGUGCCGGUCCGUGUACAUGUGUGUAUGUGAGACAAUGUGAGCGUGUGUGUGGAGAGGAUCAGACACCAGCUUUGGGGAGGCCGGGUCCAGUCGGCUGGGACCAGAGGUCUCAAGAGGCCUGUGCCCCGACUUUCUCACGUGUGAAAUGGGGCUACUACCAACUGCACAUUGGACACAAGCCACAGGAGGACUGGAUGAGACGGAAAAUGCCUGGCACGGGGCUUUGCUGGGGAGAAGCGCUUUACCAUCAGCGAGAGCUGCUCUCUACAGAGCUCUCGGUGGUCCUGGUGUGUUGGAAAUGUUCAGCCUUGUGCAGACCUGACCUCUGUGCUCCCUGUGCUAAAACACUGUUUUGAUCAACCUCUGGAUGCCUUGACUUAUUGGCUUUGAAUUGAUCUAUUGAUUUAAUAAAAGUCAUUUUUCAUGGUCA
rnacentral:lncRNA from 1 species